rnacentral:rRNA from 1 species
GAAUAUUGGACAAUGGGGGGAACCCUGCUCCAGCCAUGCCGCGUGUGUGAAGAAGGCCUUUUGGUUGUAAAGCACUUUAAGCGAGGAGGAGGCUACUUUAGUUAAUACCUAGAGAUACUGGUCGUUACUCGCAGAAUAAGUACCGGCUCACCAUGUGCCAGCAGCCGCGGUAAUACAGAGGGUGCAAGCGUUCAUCGGAUUUACUGGGCGUAAAGCGCGCGUAGGUGGCCAAUUAAGUCAAAUGUGAAAUCCCCGAGCUUAACUUGGGAAUUGCAUUCGAUACUGGUUGGCUAGAGUAUGGGAGAGGAUGGUAGAAUUCCAGGUGUAGCGGUGAAAUGCGUAGAGAUCUGGAGGAAUACCGAUGGCGAAGGCAGCCAUCUGGCCUAAUACUGACACUGAGACGCGAAAGCAUGGGGAGCAAAC